CCUACGGUGGCUGCAGUGGGGAAUAUUGGACAAUGGGCGAAAGCCUGAUCCAGCCAUGCCGCGUGUGUGAAGAAGGCCUUCGGGUUGUAAAGCACUUUCAGUGGGGAAGAAAGCCUUGGGGCUAAUACCCUCGAGGAAGGACAUCACCCACAGAAGAAGCACCGGCUAACUCCGUGCCAGCAGCCGCGGUAAUACGGAGGGUGCGAGCGUUAAUCGGAAUUACUGGGCGUAAAGCGCGCGUAGGCGGUCUGAUAAGCCGGUUGUGAAAGCCCCGGGCUCAACCUGGGAACGGCAUCCGGAACUGUCAGGCUAGAGUGCAGGAGAGGAAGGUAGAAUUCCCGGUGUAGCGGUGAAAUGUGUAGAGAUCGGGAGGAAUACCAGUGGCGAAGGCGGCCUUCUGGACUGACACUGACGCUGAGGUGCGAAAGCGUGGGUAGCAAACAGGAUUAGAUACCCUUGUAGUC
rnacentral:rRNA from 1 species